AUACGACGUAGUGAAUCAUCGAAUCUUUGAACGCACCUCGCACUUGCAGAGUCUAUCUGCAAGUAUACCUGUUUGAGUAUCAUACACAUUUAUCCACGCAAGUGGGAUUUGGGUUUCAGCGUGCAAACGCCGUUGCCUAAAAUGCAGCGAGGAACGAGGGCGACGUGGUCGUGCUCUUAACGUGAGGAUGUUUGUGCUCCGGCGCAAAAGUAAUCACAAUGAGAGGGCGAACGCAGCGUUCUACCAACGUUCCUGCAUCGUGGACGUCGCAAGGCGAACACACUCUGUACACAAUGUGAUCUCAAAUCAGGCAAGAAGACCCGCUGAACUUAAGCAUAUCAAUAAGCGGAGG
rnacentral:rRNA from 1 species